rnacentral:rRNA from 1 species
GGGUUGUGAGGUUAAACGACUAAGCGUACACGGUGGAUGCCCCGGCAGUCAGAGCGAUGAAGGACGUGCUAAUCUGCGAUAAGCGUCGGUAAGGUGAUAUGAACCGUUAUAACCGGCGAUUUCCGAAUGGGGAAACCCAGUGUGUUUCGACACACUAUCAUUAACUGAAUCCAUAGGUUAUCGAGGCGAACCGGGGAACUGGAAACAUCUAAGUACCCCGAGGAAAAGAAAUCAACCGAGAUUCCCCCAGUAGCGGCGAGCGAACGGGGAGCAGCCCAGAGCCCGAAUCAGUAUGUGUGUUAGUGGAAGCGUCUGGAAAGGCGCGCGAUACAGGGUGACAGCCCCGUACACAAAAAAAAUGCACAUAUUGUGAGCUCGAUGAGUAGGGCGGACACGUGGUAUCCUGUCUGAAUAUGGGGACCAUCCUCCAAGGCUAAAUACCCUGACUGACCGAUAGUGAACCAGUACCGUGAGGGGAAAGGCGAAAAGAACCCCGGCGAGGGGAGUGAAAAGAACCUGAAACCGUGUACGUACAAGAAGUGGGAGCACGCUUAGGCGUGUGACUGCGUACCUUUUGUAUAAUGGGUCAGCGACUUAUAUUCUGUAGCAAGGUUAACCGAAUAGGGGAGCCGAAGGGAAACCGAGUCUUAACUGGGCGUUAAGUUGCAGGGUAUAGACCCGAAACCCGGGUGAUCUAGCCAUGGGCAGGUUGGAAGGUUGGGUAACACUAACUGAGGACCGAAACCGACUAAUGUUGAAAAAAAAUUAGCGGAUGACUUUGUGGCUGGGGUGAAAGGCCAAUCAAACCGGGAGAUAGCUGGUUCUCCCUGAAAGCUAUUUAGGUAGCGCCUCGUGAACUCAUCUCCGGGGUAGAGCACUGUUUCAGCAGGGGGGUCAUCCCGACUUACCAACCCGAUGCAAACUGCAGAAUACCGGAGAAUGUUAUCACGGGAGACACACGGCGGGUGCUAACGUCCGUCGUGAAGAGGGAAACAACCCAGACCGCCAGCUAAGGUCCCAAAGUCAUGGUUAAGUGGGAAACGAUGUGGGAAGGCCCAGACAGCCGUGAUGUUGGCUUGAAGCAGCCAUCAUUUAAAGAAAGCGUAAUAGCUCACUGGUCGAGUCGGCCUGCGCGGAAGAUGUAACGGGGCUAAACCAUGCACCGAAGCGGCAGCGACACUAUGUGUUGUUGGGUAGGGGAGCGUUCUGUGCCUCCGUGAAGGUGUGUGCUGUGAGGCAUGCUGGAGGUAUCUGUGAAGUGCGAAUGCUGACAUAAGUAACGAUAAAGCGGGUGAAAAGCCCGCUCGCCGGAAGACCAAGGGUUCCUGUCCAACGUUAAUCGGGCAGGGGUGAGUCGACCCCUAAGGCGAGGCCGAAAGGCGUAGUCGAUGGGAAACAGGUUAAUAUUCUGUACUUGGUGUUACCGCGAAGGGGACGGAGAAGGCUAUGUUGGCCGGGCGACGGUUGUCCCGGUUUAAGCGUAGGCUGGUUUUCCGUGCAAAUCCGGAAAAUCAAGGCUGAGGCGUGAUGACGAGGCACUACGGUGCUGAAGCAACAAAUGCCUGCUUCCGUGAAAAGCCUCUAACAUCAGGGUAACAUCAAAUCGUACCCCAAACCGACACAGGUGGUCAGGUAGAGAAUACCAAGGCGCUUGAGAGAACUCGGGUGAAGGAACUAGGCAAAAUGGUGCCGUAACUUCGGGAGAAGCACGCUGAUAUGUAGGUGAAGUCCCUUGCGGAUGGAGCUGAAAUCAGUCGAAGAUACCAGCUGGCUGCAACUGUUUAUUAAAAACACAGCACUGUGCAAACACGAAAGUGGACGUAUACGGUGUGACGCCUGCCGAAGUGCCGGAAGGUUAAUUGAUGGGGUCAGCGCAAGCGAAGCUCUUGAUCAAGCCCGGUAAACGGCGGCCGUAACUAUAACGGUCCUAAGGUAGCGAAAUUCCUUGUCGGGUAAGUUCCGACCUGCACGAAUGGCGUAAUGAUGGCCGGGCUGUCUCCACCCGGAGACUCAGUGAAAUUGAACUCGCUGUGAAGAUGCAGUGUACCCGCGGCAAGACGGAAAGACCCCGUGAACCUUUACUAUAGCUUGACACUGAACAUUGAGCCUUGAUGUGUGGGAUAGGUGGGAGGCUUGGAAGUGUGGACGCCAGUCUGCAUGAGCCGACCUUUGAAAUACCACCCUUUAAUGUUUGAUGUUCUAACGUUGACCCGUAAUCCGGGUUGCGGACAGUGUCUGGUGGGUAGUUUGGCUGGGGCGGUCUCCUCCUAAAGAGUAACGGAGGAGCACGAAGGUUGGCUAAUCCUGGUCGGACAUCAGGAGGUUAGUGCAAUGGCAUAAGCCAGCUUGACUGCGAGCGUGACGGCGCGAGCAGGUGCGAAAGCAGGUCAUAGUGAUCCGGUGGUUCUGAAUGGAAGGGCCAUCGCUCAACGGAUAAAAGGUACUCCGGGGAUAACAGGCUGAUACCGCCCAAGAGUUCAUAUCGACGGCGGUGUUUGGCACCUCGAUGUCGGCUCAUCACAUCCUGGGGCUGAAGUAGGUCCCAAGGGUAUGGCUGUUCGCCAUUUAAAAGUGGUACGCGAGCUGGGUUUAGAACGUCGUGAGACAGUUCGGUCCCUAUUCGCCGUGGGCGCUGGAGAACUGAGGGGCUGCUCCCUAGUACGAGGGACCGGAGUGGACGCAUCACUGGUGUUCGGGUUGUCAUGCCAAUGGCACUGCCCGGUAGCUAAAUGCGGAAGAGAUAAGUGCUGAAAGCAUCUAGCAAUGAAACUUGCCCACGAGAUGAGUUCUCCUGACUCCUUGAGAGUCCUGGAAGGAACGUUGAAGACGACGACGUUGAUAGGCCGGGUGUGUAAGCGCAGCGAUGCGUUGAGCUAACCGGUACUAAUGAACCGUGAGGCUUAACCUUACAACGCCGAAGGUGUUU